rnacentral:precursor_RNA from 10 species
ACUGAUUCGUCGAUGCGUUGGAUGCGAAGUUGUAAGUUGACAUAGUCCCAGGAUACGGGAAUGAAACCCGGGACUUUAGCAACUUCCAGCUCGUCAUCCGAUCCACAGCGUUCCCCAUCC